rnacentral:rRNA from 1 species
AUACAGAGGGUGCAAGCGUAUUCGGAAUUACUGGGCGUAAAGCGCGCGUAGGCGGAUGAUUAAGUCAGUUGUGAAAGCCCUGGGCUCAACCUAGGAACUGCAUCUGAUACUGGUCGUCUAGAGUUUAAGAGAGGGAAGUGGAAUUCCAGGUGUAGCAGUGAAAUGCGUAGAUAUCUGGAGGAACAUCAGUGGCGAAGGCGACUUCCUGGCUUAAAACUGACGCUGAGGUGCGAAAGCGUGGGUAGCGAACGGGAUUAGAAACCCCAGUAGUCC